CUGGCUGGGCAGGUCUGGCAUCUCUGCAACUGCAAACACAUCAAGCUAGGAUUUUAGUGACUCACUCUUUCUCAACGUUUAUCAACAACCUAAAGGUAUUCCAAGUUUCAAAACGUGGCCAUCACCUUGCAUUUUCUUUUAAUGAAGCGGGAUAUCAGCUCUGAACAAGUUGUCGAGUUCUCAAAAUUGGAGCUUUGUGAUAAAUAUUGGGCUCUUUCUUUUAAUUAAGUCCACGUUUCACCUGAAAUUCGUCUCUCUGAAAAUUGAAAGCCUACAAGCUGAGAAAUUGCAAUUGAAUUCAGUAUUUUUCCAUUUUCUGUUUUCGGUUUGUGUUAUGUUCGGUUGCUAGGAAGCUGAUGGGGAGCAGAUAUUCUCCAACCUAAAUUUCCAGUUUCAUGUUCCUUCUGUUGUUUUGACUGUUUACAAACUGAGUUGAUCUGGUUGAUUGUUUGCA